rnacentral:rRNA from 1 species
AUUGAACGCUGGCGGCAGGCUUAACACAUGCAAGUCGAGCGGAGAGAGGUAGCUUGCUACUGAUCUUAGCGGCGGACGGGUGAGUAAUGCUUAGGAAUCUGCCUAUUAGUGGGGGACAACAUUUCGAAAGGAAUGCUAAUACCGCAUACGUCCUACGGGAGAAAGCAGGGGAUCUUCGGACCUUGCGCUAAUAGAUGAGCCUAAGUCGGAUUAGCUAGUGGGUGGGGUAAAGGCCUACCAAGGCGACGAUUUGUAGCGGGUCUGAGAGGAUGAUCCGCCACACUGGGACUGUGAAACAGCCAAGAUUCCGACGGGAGGCAGCAGUGGGGAAUAUUGGACAAUGGGCGCAAGCCUGAUCCAGCCAUGCCGCGUGUGUGAAGAAGGCCUUAUGGUUGUAAAGCACUUUAAGCGAGGAGGAGGCUACUUAGAUUAAUACUCUAGGAUAGUGGACGUUACUCGCAGAAUAAGCACCGGCUAACUCUGUGCCAGCCGCCGCAGUAAAAC